rnacentral:rRNA from 1 species
GACGAACGCUGGCGGCGUGCUUAACACAUGCAAGUCGAACGAGAAGAGAUGAGAAGCUUGCUUCUUAUCGAUUCGAGUGGCAAACGGGUGAGUAACGCGUAAGCAACCUGCCCUCUAGAUGGGGACAACAGCUGGAAACGGCUGCUAAUACCGAAUACGUUCUUUCUGUCGCAUGGCAGAAGGAAGAAAGGGAGGCUCUUCGGAGCUUUCGCUGGAGGAGGGGCUUGCGUCUGAUUAGCUAGUUGGAGGGGUAACGGCCCACCAAGGCGACGAUCAGUAGCCGGUCUGGGAGGAUGAACGGCCACAUUGGGACUGAGACACGGCCCAGACUCCUACGGGAGGCAGCAGUGGGGAAUCUUCCGCAAUGGACGAAAGUCUGACGGAGCAACGCCGCGUGAACGAUGACGGCCUUCGGGUUGUAAAGUUCUGUUAUACGGGACGAAUGGUACGACGGCCAAUACCCGUCGUAAGUGACGGUAC